CUUCCAUAUGCACCAUAACAUGACCAUCACUGCUUCCCCUUUCUAUUUUCCAUCAAGCUGUUGAAAAGUUAAUCUCAUCACAUUGUGUAUGUCAGAUGUUCUGGGCGGUGCUAAUCUAAUUGUCUGCCAGCUUCUUCUUGUGAAAUUGCGCCUGAGAAAGAGAUGGGUAACCGUUUCUUCUUUGUGUAGAAUAAAAACCUGAUGAGCCUGACGAUGAUCUUCUUGCGAAACUGCUGUCUUAAAAUCAAGAUUAUCUUCUGCUGGCGCGCUCUGACGAUGAUGAGCUAGAGGAUCGGAUCGGAGAAUCAAAACCCUGAUGAGCAUGCACAUGCACAUGCACCUCGAUCGAUGCAUCGCAGAUCAUGCCAUCGUCCCUUGUCCAUGAUCUAUCUCCAUGGACAAUGCAUUAAAAAAUUUGAUGAGCCUGACGUACGAUUGCAUGCAUGUCGGACCAGAAUCUCGGUUUUCAUAUAUUGCGUGCCCUGACCAUGCGCGGUUGUUUUGCUCGGAUUCCUUUCUGCGCCCUUGAUUUGGCUGCAGAGCAUGCACCUCGAUCGAUGAGGUGAGUUGGAUUAAUUUGCUGAUAUAUGUUGGACGGACGCGCGGACGCAGAUGAUGCAGCAUACCCAUCCCUUGUCCUCGGCCAUAAAGAGUCACAACCAAUUGAAAAAAAUAUAUUAUCCUCUUUUGAUCCAAUCAAGCUAGCCAAAUCUACUAUAAAAAUAUAAUAAUUAAAGAUCAUAUUAGAGAAGAUGGCAAUAUUGCUCUAGGGUAGAGCUAAACCAUGCCAAAUACCCCUCGAUAAGAAUUAAAGAGUCUUAGGUAAUAAUAAUAUCUACUAUUCAUCUGCAGACCAUUGUUUUAAUUUUAGCUACACCAUUCAGUUAGAUGGUUUAAUUGGAUCUAAUGAUCAUCGACCAUUUAGCAGGGGACGGGACUACAGUAGUGUCAUGGGUAUUAAAAUGAAUACCUAAUUUUUUUUGUCAAAUAAAUAAGUACAGUAGAUGCAGAUUUACUUCCUGCAACCAUUCCAAGUUACAAGCCCCCUCUGUCGAAUGGUGUCCGGCCGGCCAUCUCUUAGCCAAAGGGACACUACCAAUUUACGCAUUACGCUGUCUUGCCCGGGGACGACUGCUUCCUCACUUUUCCCCCGGAUGAAGCAGACAAUUCCAAGGCUUACCUAAUGUAUGAGAAAAGUUCUGUCCUGGUUUCAGAAACCAAAAGACAAUAAGAUUUAUGUUCGGAGAGGAAGCUAGCAUAGACACACUUCGAAUGGUAAGUCGCCAAGACUCAAGUGGUGGAUCUGAGACGGUAGGUUAUACUAGUUCAGGCUUGCGUCCUAGUCUAGUGUAGUGCUGAUCGUAAUAUUGUUGAGAGUGUGAUACAAUUGGUGUGCUCGUAUGUCGUUCGAAGAAAGGACAUCUCCCUUUUAUAUGUCAAGAGAGAAGCCUUAUAAUGGGACCCCUUCCUCGCUGAGGAGAGAUAGGGAGAGAGAGAGCCCUAUAUGCCUGGGUCAACGAACUGGGUCAUCUUUCUUGUGCGUGGUCAUACCCUGAUAUGGCAAUGUCCCUCAUGUCGGUUACUAUAGCGAGCCUGUUGCUAGCCCUAGUGGCAGUAUGUGGCGGGUUCCGCUAGCCUGUCUCGGGAUACGAUUGUACGCGGCAUGGCUUCGCCCGCUGCACGCCUUGCGUCUCCUCCCAUCGCACCUGAUACAUACGAUUGUGUGCGCACGUUCGAGUGUGGCAUGGUGAUGACAUGUCUUGUCGUGAUGGACGGGUUUAGGUCUCCACCUCAUGGGCACAAAUACUUGGUUGGUAGCUCCGCCUCGCAAGCUUUGCUCGGCGGGGACAUGGUUGGUCACUCCGCCUCAUCGGUUUGCCGGGUGGUGGCUUGGUCGGCAGCCUCACCUGGCUAACUUGCUCGACGGGGACUUGGUUGGUAGCCUCGUCUCGCUGACUUGCUUGUCGGAGACUUGGUCGGCCGCUCCGCCCGCCGGCUUGCUCGCCGAGGACCUGGUUUGAUAAUAAGGUUACGAGCUUACUUAGGGUACCUCGUCCUUGGUACCCCACAAGUUCUAUUGCUAAAAUUGCUUUGAAGAGAGGAGUACAACUUACCACUAGUGAGAGGGUGGUUGAAGAUAUUGAAAAAUUAACAGGUGGUGUGAUGCUUUCAAGGAACAAUAUUUAUAGUCUUCUAUAGAGGGAAGGAUUUCUUGUCCUCACAACUUGCAGCGGCGCUACUAGAGAGGGAAAGAUUAGCAAAGUCACGCCAAGAUGAAGAGGAAGCAUGGCAAAAAUCAGUGUCUUAUUUUUCAAGUGUCGAGGCAUAUCUACAGUAUACUGUAGCUAGUACUCUAGGAGAGACUCUGGACGCUAACUCUAAAUAUGGAAGUGAUCGAACUUGAUAAGAAUCAUGCGGAAACAAUGGCAAGAAUUGUUGAAGUUGUGCAAGGACAUGCUGACCUCUCGUAAGAAAUCUAGAGUGGAAGUUAUCACUUUGCACAGAUAAAUAUAGAGAAAGCUGAAAGGGUAUUAGGAAAGGUUGCGACAGCCCACAGGCCGCCAGCUGAAGAUUCUAGACCUCCUGAAACAAUAACAGAUGAAGAGAGGUCCAUGUUUCGAAAACUUGGUCUAAGGAUCAAGGCAUUUCUGCUCCUCGGUAAUUCCAUUCUCUUUAUUGUUUUUGAGUGGCGGGGGCAAUGACAGGAUUGACGGCGCCUUCUUUGUUUUCUUUUGGUUUUAGCUUUAUGAGACUUUGUUCUGGCAUGAUGUGGCUGUUAAAGUUUUCUCCAAGCAAGAAUAUUCAGAAGAAGUGAUAUCGACCUUUAGACAAGAGGUAGACAUCCAUCAUCAGCAACAACUUAUGCCAAUUUCUAAUAAUAUAUAUGGAUAUGCAGAUCAGCUUUGAGCUGUAGAGUAAUCUACACUAAACCCUAAACCCCAAACCCUGCCCGCGCCCCACCAUUCACGGCCACGUCCGCCACCGACAUCCUUCGCGCAUGCGCCCCACCAUUCACGCCUCUGCGCGCUAGCCCCGCCAAUUCCCUUCCAUCCCGCCUCUUCCCCGCCCGACUCCUCUCAGCUCGUCUCCUCUUUCCCACGAGACGACUUAACUCCCUCUCCCAAACCCUAGGGAUCGAGCCCACCUCCUCAACGAGACGCCCAUGGGCCUUGGCGGUGGCGGCCCCCUCCCCAGUUUAGGAGGCAACACACGCGACACACCCUGUUUCUCCUGGUGGCAAUGACAAAUCUGGGGCACUGCGGUGACAGUGGCGGGUGCUGCCUCCUCAACGAGGCACCCAUGGGACAUGGCGUUGGUUCCUCCAGCCGCCCCCAUCCCAGGCACGCAAAACUCUCGGAUCUAUCGCUCCUCCACGUUCUCGUCAUCGUGGGUUCCUCUGCGAGGUCGAGCUCAGCCUCCUCCAUAGCAACCUCCCUGCCCUGCCCUCGACCGUGCCCCCACUCGCUUCCCCUCCCCUGCGUAUUUGCUCGGCCCCACUAUUGCCUCCUCACUUGCCGCCGUUGAGGACAAUGACUGCGAGGCUACGACUCACCCGAGGCCAACCUCGGACGGGAGAGGUAGUCACGACUCGCCUGAGGCCAACACCGAGCAGGAGACACAUCCACGACUCGCCUGAGACCAAGCCUGGAUGGGAGACACAAUCACGACUCACUCGAGGCCAACACUAGGCAGGAGACACGGUCAUGACUCACCCAAGGAGAAGGCCGGGCAAGAGACGCAGUCACGACUCACCCGAGGCCAUCCUCAGGCGGGAGACACAGUCGUGAAUCGCCCAAGGCCAAGCUCGGGUGGCAGACGCAGUCACGACUCGCCUGUGGCCAAUUUCGAGCGAUACAGGCAGUCACAACUCACCCGGAGCCAACCCCGGGUGGGAGAUGUAGUAACGACUCGCUCAAGGCCACCCCUGGGUGGUAGACGUAGUCACGACUCCCCCGAGGCCAACCCCGGGCGAGAGAUGCAGUGACAACUCGCCCGAGGUAAACCUCGAGUGGGAGACGCAGUGACGACUCGUCUGAGACCAAGCCCGGGCGGGAGACGCAGUCAUGACUCACCCGAGGCCAUCCUCGGGUGGGACAGGCAGUCACGACUUGCUCGAGGCCAACCCUGGGGGGGAGAGGUAGUCAAGACUCGCCCGAGGCCAUUCUCGAGCGGGAGACACAAUCAUGACUCGCUCGAGGCCAACCCCAGACAGAAGAUGUACUCAUGACUCGCUCGAGGCCAACCUCAGACGGGAGACACAGUCACGACGGCUCGGGGCCAUCCCCGGGAGAAAGACGCAGUCACGACUCGUCUGAGGCUAAGACCGGGCAGGAAACGCAAUCACGACUCGCCCAAGGCCAUCCUCGGGCGGGACAGGCAUUCACGACAUGCUCGUGGCCAACCCCAGGCGGGAGACGAAGUCACGACUCAUCCGAGGCCAUCCUCGGCCGGGAGACACAGUCACAACUCGCUCGAGGCCAACCUCGGGAUGGACAGACUGUCAUGACUCUCUUGAGGCCAUCCUUGGGCGGGACAGGCAGUCACGACUCGCCUGUGGCCAACCUCGAGCGGAAGACACAAUCAUGUCUCGCCCGAGGCCAAUCUCGAGUGGAAGACACAGUCACGUCUGACCCGACACCAAGCCCAGGUAGGAGACACAGUCAUGACUUGCCCGAGGCCACCCCUGGGAAGAACACGCAGUCACGACUCGCUCAAGACCAACCUCGGGCGGGAGAGGCAGUCACGACUCGCUCUAGGCCAACCCCGGGUAGAAGACCCAGUCACGACUCGCCCAAGGCCAACCCUAAGCGGGAGAGGCAGUCACGACUCGCCCGAGGCCAAGCCCUAGUGGGAGACGCAGUCACGACUCGCCCGAGGCCAAGCCCAAGCGGGAGACAUAGUCACGACGCGCCCGAGGCCAUCCUCGGGCGGGACAUACAUUGACGACUUGCUCAAGGCCACCCCGGCUGGGAGAGGUAGUCACGACAUGCCCGAGGCCAACCUCGGGUGGGAGACUCAGUCACGAUUCGCCCGAGGUCAUCCCAUGGCGGGAGACGCAGUCACGACUCGCCCGAGGCCAACCCCAGGCAGAAGACGCAGUCACGACUCGCCCGAGGCCAACCUUGGGCAAGAGACGCGGUCAUGACUCACCCGAGGACAUCUCGGGUGGUGCUCUAGCAAUAAUAGGAAUAAUUUGUGCGAUAUUGAUAAUUUUUGCCACACUGAUUUUGCAUAUCAUAGUGAUGUUUGUCAUUCCAUAUCUAUGUUUCAUACAAAUUUUUUACUCUCGUUGCAACGCACGAACGCAUAUCUAUCAUAGUAAUAUCUGUCAUUCCGUAUCUAUGUUUCAUACUAAUUUUUAACUCCCAUGGCAUCACACAGGCAUAGACCUAGUUAUUAAGUUAUGAACCAAAAUACUGAGAAACUUCAAACAAAUUAAAUACAAAUUGUGUAUCCAUUUUAGGUUUCAUGCCUAACCUACCAAUCUUGCCACCAAAUAUAUUGAUCUAUAGAUAGACAUAAAAAUAAUGUGCUCAUAGAUCUUCAUAUAUGUUUUCUUUAGAGUUGAUUAUGGAAAAUUGUAGUGAAGCCUAUGCUAACUUCAUAUUUUGUGGCUUUCAUACCAAAGGUGUCACACUUAAAUUAUAACACUGAUAUCAUUUAUAUGCAAAGGUAUCCCUCUUAUGAAGAAAUUGUGCCAUCAUAACAUACUGCUCUUCAUAGGGGCAUUUAUGCCUCCACAAAGGCAUUGUAUUGUUACAGAGUUUCUUCCUUGGUAUGUCCCUACUUUGUGUACGAGCAUACAUGUUCGCGAGCGUUUGUUAUUAUGUGACAUUUCCUCAUUGUUUCACAUCUACAUGAGUUGAGCCAGGAAAUUUGUUUGCAUCUGGUUGAAUGUUUCGACUACAACAAUGAUUGUUGCAUAAGGAAAAGGAAUUUUAAAUUCAGAAAAUCAAGGCUUGGUUUAAGUUGAGAAGUCAUUUGCAUGCAUUUUGUUGGUGGAAGUGGGUAUCCUGUAAAAGUAGUAUUAUAUUGUAAAAUGCUUAUCUACAAAUCAUAAUACCUUCACUACUAGGAAAUCAGUAAAUCACCCUCUUGCAAUGGGUAAAGUUUUUUUUGCAAAAAAAGCCAUAAAUCAUGGCAAGUUCUACCAUUUGACAUAAUUUCACUUUCGGUGCCGACCGCUGCUGAAAACAAAGUGGAAAAAGCUUAUGGCAACGGUUUUUUGCCCCAUUGCAAUAGCUCUAGUUGUCACAAUAAAACAUAAUGCUACAGUCCAUAUUAGUUGCAUCGACCAAAUAACACUAAAAAGGAAAAAUAUCAAAUCUAGGAAUCGAACUUAGGUCUCAUUGUUCAUAAAAAUAACUAAAUAUAUUAAGAUGCUUAUUUUUGCCAAUGACAUUACAACUUUUACAACAAAAUUAGUAUAUAUUGCCUCCAUUCAGAUCUUUGUUGCAAUACACACCAUGAUUUUGCAACGAAUAGUACAAUAAUAGCUACAAAAGAUAUUUGUGGCAAUAUAGGUAACUAUACUGCAACCCUUUUUAUUUUAUGGCAAGAAGCAUCAUAGUUUUGCAACGGAAUGCAAUAGUAUCGCAACCACAUGAAACUUGUCGCAAUACUAAUUAACAUAUUGCAGUGAUUUUGUACAUUGUGACAAUAACACCUACCUCUUACAAAAAAACUAAUACUUAUUGCAACAUAAAGAAAUCAUGGCAAUAAAGUCUACAUAUCACAACCAUUUUUCAAAGUUGUGGCAAUAACACAUAGUUAUUGCAACAAAAUUUGUGUUGUUGCAGUAUGAUCUGUGGCAAUAUACCAAUUUUCUAGUAGUGUUUGUCCAACCUUAGGCAACUUGGAUGCAUGUAUAUAAAUAUAAAAUGAAAAUGUCUAACCUAGACGAUACUCUCCCUGGUACAAAGUUCAAAGUAUAUGUUGUUUAUGAAUUCCUACAGAUCAAACCUUUUUCUGUUUUCAUCUGGAGGAUUGCAGCUUGUCGUUCUACUGGCAUCUAUAUUGGCGAUAAGUUCUAUGAUCGAUUCAUGUUGAUAUCAUUUGUAUGGAGCCAGAGUUUUCAUGCUACAAGUUAUUAUACUUGGUUUGCACAUCAUAAUUAUUUUUGCCAUCACAAAGGGAAACUGAACAUUUAUGGUUUCUUUUGCCAAGUCACAAUUGUUAGAAACACAAGGUCUACUACAAAAUUCCUGACGUUCCCAAGGAUGCAUCAUAGGAUGACAUCAAAAAUGCAUUUCAUUCUGUGAGUAUCAUUAUAGUUUAGUUGAUCUUGAGAUAUUCCAAAGCUUGCUCAUGAUUGGACUGUUUAUUUAUGUCGUUGGCCAUGCUGUGAAUCGAUCUAAUAGCCAUUGAUCAAGUGGCAAUAUCGAUCACAUGUUUCCUAUCUUUUCAUGUCAACAUGAUUUUGCACAUUUCUGAAGAAGGCACUACAUGUGUGAUCCUUCACUUGUUGUGUUGCUUCAUUAGGAUACUGUCAAUUGCCAAAAAAAAUUGGCAGUGUCCUAUCUUUUCACGUUGUUGCUAUCGUGCACAUCUGUAACAACACUAUCAAUUGACAAAAAUGCACAAUAGAUCAACGUGAUUUGGUACUUGGCGAAUUCUAGUAAGAAGUGUAUCUAACUCACUGCAUGCGCGCAGGAGGAGGAGGCAAUGGGCAAGCCUUUCUCCAUCGCUGCCAUCAUACUCUACUUCUCGUUUUGUCACGCCCCUCACCGGCAUCUCCUCCCCUAUGCUAGACAGAUCCCUCGGCUACCCAUCACAGAGGUGCUCACCUCUGGAUCGGUCGAGCGAAUGUGUAGAUCCAUUUGUACGCCCGAUUCAUCACUCUACGAUUUUGUUCUCUCCCUUGGUCUGUUUCCUUGCUCAUCUCGAUUGAUUUAGGUCACUGAGAUUUUGAGUUUGUUUAUGCUUGCGGAUUAUUUACCUUGUGAUCCUUUUGGGAAUUGCUAUAUGUGUGUCACAAACAAGUUGCCCAUGACAUCUAAUCUAUGUAUGGAAAACCAACCUGGUGUGAGAUUAUGGAUCAUACUGAAAUCCUGAAUCAUGGUGAUUAUGAUACAAACAAUUCAAAAUCAAACAUGUUUCGAUUGAGUUGAAAUGGAGUGAUUGGAUCCAAAAUACGGAUUCUUGAUCCAGGAAGGGGAAUUUUUGUGCCCGCAUGGGCGACACCAUCUAGAAACCAGGAAAAAAAUGGGUGAGAUCCGAAUUCAGAUGGCCUUCCUGAAAAAGGUACAAAAGUGAUAUCAAAAAGGAAAAACCUGGAAGAUGGGGGGCUAAAGGAUAUAAUACCUGAAUCAAGGUUUAUUACUUCACAUUACCCGAUCAAAUCGGCAGAUCCCUCAUUCCCCUCCCUCUACGAUUGUGAAAAACCCUAAAUCUUUCACCAUCUCGCAUCUCAAUAGAUUUAUCGGACAUCUCUGGGGGAAACUGAUGAGAUCCUUUGCGAGUGUUAUAAAUAAUACUUAUGCCCUGUCACCCUGGUGAAGAUGCAACCAAGGGGAUCCGGAAGGCGCGGAGGUGUUGUGUCCCGUGGAGCCGGUCGUAGAUCGACACAUGAGAAUAUGUGGUGAAGAGUGGAUGAAGGCUCCUCAAGUGCUCAAAGGAUGGAAAUGGAUCCAUAUGAUGAUGGGGAUCUAGGAGAGGAAGAAGAAACUUGUAACACCCUGAAUUUUGGGGUAUAAAGAUUUCUUUGCGCUUUACUCAAAAUUGACGUGUUACUCUUUCCUUUCUUCACUUUUCUUUUCCCUUUAUCAAAACAAUAGAAAGUUAUUUUGGUUCUAUGUUCGCGUGAGCCUAGAAGUGUCAUGAUUGUUGCAUUCAUGUUGUUGCAUAGUGUUUCUAAGUGCAAAAAGUGUUUAAAACAUGUUAAUA